GUCUGGGAUAACUAGAGAUAUCGACAUAAAUUGCUCCUCAUUUAUGAAUAUAGGUAUCUGCAAACGAUGUAUGCUAUUCCUAGCAGUGUUGCCUUCCUAAUGCUGAUUUUGUCAAUUCCAAUAUCAGCCAGGUGCUUUGGGAUUGCCCCCAAGGCACCGAUGAUGAUUGUCAUUAUUCUUGCCUUCUUUUCUCAUAAUCUUUCCACUUCUAUUUCAAGGUCUCUAUAUUUUGUUGUCUUUUCAAGUUCUUUAUCAUUCAUUCUUGCAUCACCAGGAAUUGCUAUGUCUACAAAUUGAACUUUUUUCUUUCUUGUUCAC
rnacentral:lncRNA from 1 species